rnacentral:rRNA from 1 species
CUACGGGGGGCACCAGUGAGGAAUAUUGCACAAUGGGGGGAACCCUGAUGCAGCAACGCCGCGUGGAGGAUGACGCAUUUCGGUGUGUAAACUCCUUUUAUAUGUCAAGAAAAUGACGGUAGCAUAUGAAUAAGCACCGGCUAACUCCGUGCCAGCAGCCGCGGUAAUACGGAGGGCGCAAGCGUUACUCGGAAUCACUGGGCGUAAAGGACGCGUAGGCGGGUUGAAAAGUCAGGUGUGAAAGCCUACAGCUUAACUGUAGAACUGCACUUGAAACUCUCAAUCUAGGGUAUGGGAGGGGCAGAUGGAAUUAGUGGUGUAGGGGUAAAAUCCGUAGAUAUCACUAGGAAUACCUAAAGCGAAGGCGAUCUGCUGGAACAUUACUGACGCUAAGGCGUGAAAGCGUGGGGAGCAAACAGGAUUAGAUACCCCAGUAGUC